AAACUAUGAUGAGGACACUACAACAAUAAACCCUUAAAUCUAUCACAUGCUUCAAAUUGUGAUUCUCCAUCUACCUGAGCAAAGCUUGUAAUUCUAUUUCUCAUGUAU